CAGAGCAGCCUGUCCACAGGGAACUCAAACCCCCCAGACAGAGGCUGUUCUGCAGCAGCCACCACUGCCCUCUGCUCUGCCAGCUCCCCCCAGCACCAGCUCCUGCCUCGCCCCUCCCCCCGUAGGAAGCAGGAACAGGGGGCACGCUGCUUAAAGCCAGUUUCUCAUGGUCACCACCCCCUCGCAGCCUCUAAUUCAGAGGCAGCGGGGGGGGGGGGGGGAGAUGUGAGUAGUCGACAAGAUUAACUGAUAGUCGACUACACGUUGAGAUCCCUAGUUCUGGAUGUCAUGUCACUAUUCACAAGAGUAGUGUUGCUAGCAGUAGCGUCCCAGACAACAUAGCAAUAGAUGGGUAAGAAAUACCUCACUGUCCAAAUUGUCCCAAAUUGCUGCUGUUAAUAUUACUACUACUAAUUUUUAGUAGCACUCACAAUGUAAUGUACCUUGCCCUUUCCAAACAUAAAAACAGGCAGAUUCUAUGCCCCAAAAUGUCUGUAUUUAGAGCCUUGCACCGAUACAAAAUUCGUAUUCUGCAAAAAUGAGCUGUGGAUAUCGGCCUCCACCUCCACAGGUAUCUGCUGAUUUGCAGAGCGCUCUCUGUGUUGGAAGGAUCGGUGUACACUGCAAUCAGAGGUGCGACCACAGCACUAGUAGAUAUACCUGAGCUAGCCUGACUACCAACAGCAAUGAGGCACCAGUCACACCUCUGGACUGCCAUUAGAUGCCCAUUGGUGACCAGAGCUUUAGCUAAGGGGCUGUUUCAUUGCGGUACAGGUGUUCGGGCGUGGGCUGCAGCCCGAGUUCUGGGACCCUCUCACCUUACACAGAAAUAUUAAUGGGCCCAACCAACAGCUGAGGCUUAGGGCAAGAGAGGAGGUGGCUUUCUCCUGGUGCUCCAUCACGGGGGGCGGGUCUGCAUUCAGACAUGACCCGUGUUUGGGGAUGCCACCAUUAUAUCUGAAAUGGGCAAGGUGGUGAUGUACUUCUCCUGGACAUCCAUCUCAGCUGCUUCUUUCAUAGUUGAAAGGUAUUUUUGUGGCCACUAUCAUUUUAUUCUCUUUAAAAACUUAACAGGUUGUUUUCUAACACCAUCAUUUUUAUUGAACAGUAAGUAAUAAAAUCGUCGUCAUCGAAUUUGGCUCCAUUUUGCAAUGGGACCAGGAAUCCUAGCUGGUUGAUUGGCUCAUCUCAGCACGGAGUAUCUUGUUGUCAUGUUACAAUAUCAUUUGCUAGUCAAGUUGGGUCCAUUAUUGUCUGUAAAGCACAGCUCUGUCCCUUCCUGUGACCUGCCUUCAGUAACUGUUGCCAUGGUUAUUACAUUUCAGUGCUUUUCAGCGAGGGGAUGCUGCAAAUGCUGGAUUGCCUCUAGAAGCAGUGAUUUAUGUGGCCGCAGUUAGGAAUAAUGGGUUCAAAUUGCUUACUGAAGCCAACCAUUGCUAUUAUUUUUAGUUUGAUCCUAUCUACUUUCUGGUCUGUGCCAGGUUCAAGAGCAUAGUGGAGGUUGGGAAAUAUGCACAGAAGAAUAAAUGCUUCCUAAAGAGAACAAAACAUUUAUCAAACUGAAAGCUGGAUCAUCUGUAUCCAUUUUAGUGUGUGUCUGUGUGCAUCUGUCCAUUGGGGGCUGCCAUCCCACCAAGGCACUGCCGUCUCGCCUGCCAGCAGCACCCUGAGAUACAGUAUAACAAAUCCCACUCACAGAAAUACAAAGCUCUCAGAAGCUCUCGAUGGGGGAAAAAAGCAACGGCUGAAGAGACAGUACAAACGACACUACUGGAGGAAGAAUUUGGUCAGAGUACACUAGGUGUCCAGGGUGCCCACCUGAAACUGGCUUUUCCUGUCAAUUAGUCUCUCUGUCCUGUAGCUACCAUCCUUCCGCUCACUGCUACCAGCCGACACACUGCUUACUUACCCACCUGGGCAGACUGGUUCUUUUGGGUGGUAGCCAACCCUUUGUCCAUUGAUGCUUCCAUCUAAAUAGAGGAUCAUCAAAUUUUACUGACCCUGCUGUCCAACUAUCCCUUGGAAUUCUAGGCCCAAAACCAAGAUAGAGUCCCCAAAUCGCCAUCCUACAGCAAGAGGGCAAAAGAAUCGGGGCCCUGUUAGCUUCAACGUGGAUUCUGAACCCUGACCUUGACAUUUCUUAUUUCUUCCUUACUUCUCAUCAACAUAAGCAGGAAACAGCCUUUGACACAAUCAAAGCAAGCAACUACUUGGGGUCACGAUCUUUGGGGGCCCUCAUCCCAGGCAAGCUCUGCAUCUAAUCAGCCAGUCCCAUCUCCCACUACAGCCAAGCAACAAGAGGGAGAGAAUUCGUGGUCAGAGCGCCUGGCUCCUUAACCUCUGGCACCUGGCCACACAGGCAGCUCAGUCAAAUCCUCAGUUCUAAAAACUUGAAACCCCACAUACUGCAAGAGCUCAACACCUCACUGACAAAAACUGAUUGUAACACUGAAGUUUAUACAGGGUCAAUCUGACUGCCAAAACUCACUGCACAUACUUGCAGUACAAAUGUACAAAAUCAGAAGCUGUGGUCAGAAAAACAGAAGCAGAGGGAACGGUCAUCUGGAUCAGUAGCAAACUACAAUCUUCUCUAGGCCAGCUUUGUCCAUGACAGACCCUAAUCAGAACUGGUACAUAACUUAGGCGAUGCCAUGCAUUCAAUGCUUUUGUUGUUCUACCUCUUUCCCCCGCUCUGAUCUUCUUUGCUGGUUUAGUUUACUUUUAAAACCAAGUCACUAACGCAGAAUAAUGAUAGCCCCCUCCAGCAUUUCAUGCAACGUGAUUAAAGGGUUGCCCAAUUGCUCUUAUUUGUGGAACAUUUUGUACCUACUAGUUUGAAAAUACAGAAAACAAGUGAAACUAAAAGUCACGGCAGGUUAGGAAAAUAAUGUAGGUGUUACAGAGAAAAUGCUUUGAAGCCAUUAGCUGAGCAUAGAGGCUGUAGUAAAAAAAGAAAAACAAUAUCUGAGCAAAUAAACAUAGGCAGAGGAGACAAUGAAAUCUACCUUGUUGUUUCACAAAACACUGUUUAUGCCUUUGCUAGACUUCCAUUCAAGUUCUUUAUUCUUCGAGAAGGUGAUUAUAACUUCAGGUAACCAGGCUGCAUACAUAUUUUAAAGGGAAACAGCAGGAACUAGAAUUCUGUAAUGCACUGCACAUACUACACAUUUACUAAAGAAAAGAGGGAACAAAUAACGAGUUUUCCAUACACCACAGCGGUUCCUCCAUCAGCAGCUGGGUCUCUCGGCUCUCCCACUAAAUGCUGCCUUCUUUGUGAUACAUCGUAGGACUGUAUCACACAGUUUUACCACUGGAAGGGAGGGGUGUAGGAAGUGCUGUGCAGUUCCCAGAAUGCCUUCCUCAAGGACUGGUAGGUCAUGAAUGCAGUGGGUACAAGCUACAAAACCUGCAGAUCUGGACACACAAGAGGUUCUGAGCCUACGAGAGGCUGUCUUCUCCCUCUGACUUUAUUCUCCUGGUUACCUCUCCCUCCACGAAAGCAGCGUCCUAAGGAGCUAUGAUCCCAUUAGCCACACCUCACCCACGCAGGUAGAAUGGCACAGAAUUCCCUGCAGGGGGUAAUUCUGCAUGCUGGUUGCAAGUGAGUAUGUUUGGAAGGAGUGCAGAAGCAUGAUGCAAAACUUCUGCUCCCCCACAAAUAUCUGUCUCCUGUGCACAUUUCAGAUGACUUCUGCUCACUCUGAUAAAGAAUGUAGAGGGAAUAUCCAGGCAGUUGUACUAUUUUCCCUACUGGGAUAUUCAGACUUAUUAGGACUGAGAGAAUUCAGGUCAUAUUAAAAGCCUUCGGAAAUCAUCAAAGUUGAACACUGCUGUAAUGUGAAUUAUAUGUAUUCAAGGGCGGUCCGAGAUGAGCUGUCGGCAACUGGCGCCCCAGGCGGAAUGCGUGAUUGGCACCCCCGCCUCCGAGACGAGCUACCAGCAACUGGAGCCCUAGACAGAAUGCGCGAUCGGUGCCCCCGCAUCCAAAGCCCUCAACGGCGGUCCAUCAUCAUUGGGCGCCCCGUUUAACACGGCCCCCUGGGCGACUGCCGAGUCUGUCUAUAUGCACGGGCUGCCCCUGUAUGUAUUUAAAAUGUGGUUGUGGAAACACAAUCCAAGGGUAAAAGCACCAGAUGGAGGGCCAGAAGGUCCAGGUCCUAUCCCAUGACUUAGUGCCCUUAGGCAAGUCACUUAAUCUGGGCUCAUUUUUCCAGCUACAGAAUGGCUUCCCAAUUCCCACUCCCUACAGGUUACAUUCACUGAUAGUGGCGAAGUACUCUGAGAUCCUUAAUUUAAAAAGAGUACAGGAACACAAAGUAUUAUCUUCAUUAAAAGGCGGAUGGCUUACCUGGUUUUAAAUUAAUUAUGAAACACAGAAAUUACCUUUAACACACAGCCAAAAAUAUUGAAACCUUGAUUUCUAGAUAUUUCUAAGUCUCAGUUCUCUGUCCUCCUGCAUCUCAUGAGAUUACAAAGACAGCAGUUUGCUAUUUGAUUGUUAAUUAUUCUUUUUCAUUAUAUUUCAAAUACUUAAAAAUGUUUAGGGAUUUACUCUUCUGUGUAAUUAUAUGUAAUGAUUAAACCAGGUUUUAUACUGCACUGCAGUUUUUCCUUUAAGGUUAUUUGUUAUGGGGAAAGGCUAAACAGACCGAGUUCAUUUUCAUUACAGAAAACUUUAAGGUGAACCAAUAAAAUUAAUUUGAAAUUAAAGUGCAGUGAGGCUUGAUAAUUCCACACUAGUAAGGGGUUUAAACAAAAACAGGAGAGAUGAUCUAAAAACAAGAAAGUAUGAGCAACCUGGGAAUCCAGCUAGAAUUAAUUCAUCUGAAAGGGCGGUACACACAGAAAUAAAUUGUCAAACAAGACCACUGAAGCAAAUACGGAAAAUGAAUGAAGAGAUAGCAAGCGGCUGAAGUGUAUACAAAGAAGCUGGAGGAAGCAGGGUCAAACAAGAAAAUGGAUUUGAAGUAAAGGUGUAGGGACAGGGCUUGUUAGGUGACGUGAAUUUAUUUUCCUGACCAGAAAUUCUAAUGUCCUGAUCAGUUAAGAAUGCACCAGUUUUAAUUUUUUCUCCUUUUUAAUGCUUUAUGCCAGACCCUAAAUGUUGUUUAACAGGAGCAACUGUCAACUGGUUUCAGUGCAAAAUUUGAGUAUUUCAAAUGCUUAAAAACUGGUAGAACCUGUUCAGUUGUCAAGGGGGAACUUUUCAGAUGCAGGUGCCGACUAGCCACUUUUUUAUCUCAUUGAGGUUGGCUAUAAUAGGAAGAUCACACAAGUAUGGAGAACGGACAUCACUGAAUGAUGGGCAGUGGUAAGGGACACCCCUGUUGUGAGAGAGGAAGGAAUAAAGCAGUAGGAUCGAGAGGGAAGAUGCUCAGAUAUCAGGGAGAGCACAGAAUACAUAACCACACACAGACGACAGAUUCAUUAGGCCUUGAAAAAAAGGAUUUUCCUGUGUUUUUUAGGAAAGUGAAUAUGCACAUCUCUUCUGUUACUCCUCCCCUCACAGCAGCAUCAGCUACUGUAACACACACUGGGGUUCUCUGUAAUUUAUGAAUACGGGAUUUUGAUCCGUUUAAUGGGAUGUUUACUGUAUUAAUAUGUUAGUUUAGUUUAAUAAAGAGAUUGUAAGAUAGACAGGAAGUGAAAAAAUGACUUGAGACAGAUGAUCUUUGUUAAACCCCUGCUCUCCCCUGGCUGCCUCCAUUGCUUCUCCUGGCAACGCCUCCACUAUGUCUCCUGUGAGAAGAAACCGGAGAAGGCAGCCAAGCUACCGAUGCACCCCACAGCUCCUAGUUCUCUUUGUGACAGAUGCAGAUUUUCAGCUACCUUCAGAAGAAUGUGUAAGGAAGGAAAGAAGGCACAUGGAGAAGAGGAAGGAAGAAAACUUUCCAGGAAAAUACUAGAAUAAGGGACACCUCAGGAGAGGGAGAGAGUCCCACAAAGCUGGCAAAGAGGAAACAGGCCAAAAGAGGUUGGAUGUGGGGAGCAGGCAUGUUGUGCCUUCCCUAAUAUAAACGGAUGCGUUUAUUUCUAGGUAUUUUGGAUACUGUAUUCAUCUGCACUUCACAUAUGGAGUCAGUGUGUCCCAGGGCACAGUACUAGGAGUCAGGAGAUCUGAGUUCUAAUCCAUGGCUCUCGCUGCCUUGCUGUUUAGCCUUAGGCCAGUCGCGUUUUAUAUCAGUUUGCUGGACUGUAAAAUGAAGGCAAUGACAUUUACGUGGAGACGUAGGGAGGAAAAGCGCUAUAUAAAUGUGCUUGGUAUAAUCACUCAUUUCCUAAAUUGCUGUGUCAAACUGAUAUGCACUGCUAAACAGCUGCUGCACUUCAUCCCAGAUGUGGCUGCAUAUCAGCAGUGGAUGAGUAUCAGCUUGCUAAGUGUGUAAAGCACUUUAGGAUCCCUUGGGACAAAAUAUGCCCUGUGAGUUGAAGAUAGUUUAUUUCCCCUUUACACACUGUUUAUGAAAAUGCCUUUAUUACAAAUAUUUAUUUUUUUAAAUGUCAAAAUAAAAAAAUCGGAUGUAAAUCGUUUAAAGAUUAAGAUGCUACACAAACUUUUUUGUACUUAUAUCUCUAUCUCAUGUAACACAGAUGCAAUUUGUCUAUGGGCUUCCCUGUACUUGGUUUACACAAUGAGAAAUUUUACAAGCUGUAAAUACUUUCAGGACAUCAGAACACUUCUCUCUCUGGAAAUAUUUUUAGCUUAAUAUAGCUCCUCUUUGCCUAGAACAUUAGCAUUUUUGUGAUAUUUAGGACCCAGUGGUGUGACUCCUGAUUACCUUCUGUUUAUAACACACUAUCACUCUGAUGGCACACCAGUGUACAAUCAAAAGUAUGCAGGAAGCUUUUUCCACACAGUGGUUUUACUUGCCUACAACAAAAUGCAAAACAUAUAUUAUAUAAGUCUAUAUUUAAAUUUUAGCAGCACUGGAUAAAUGUUUACAUGCUUUUAUGCUAAUGCAAUCACUAACAAUCCAGAUAAUAUUGUGUAUUGGCAUAUAUUGUUAGUGAACUAUGGAUACCAAAUGUAUGAUACCACAAGCCUAACAGUUAUUUUUGUUAGAGUAUUUACAUUUAUUUGCAAUCUCAGCACUUGAGAAUUGUCCAAAUUAACUUUACUUCUGCAAACUCCUGGAAGGAAAACAUUUUGUUGAGGUUUUAAAACUGCAAGACUGUGGCAAGUUGCAACAAUUACAAUAAAGGUACCAUUGAAAGGGAGCUAACCACACUGCACAACAUAUCACGCAAUCACAGAAGAGGUGGCUAAGCCCAGUUUUCCAGGACAUCAAAACUAACAGCUUAGACUAAAAAAAACUGGAUGACAUUGUGCAUUCCUUCAUAACGACAGCCGCUCCUCUCAGCCAUACAUCUUGAUUUAGUUUAUUUGUAGAAUCAGACUUGUAAAAAUACACUGUCCAUCUACAUACAGACCAUGUGUAGCCGGAGGAAUAGAGCCGAGGACCCAUCUACUUCUAAAGCACAAGCCAGUAGCUCAAAGCUGCUGUGGCCAAGCCACAGGCGGGCAGUCUGUUUCUCUCACACACUUACACAGAGUUUUGAGAAUAUAAAAAACAACAGUCUCCAGCAGAAGAUCCUAGUAAGCCGGGCAAGCUCUCUCGGUAUGUCUACACUACAGC